AUUAUAUUUUUACUCGCUCUGAUGUGUUAGCAACCGUUAGCAAACGUCAAUGUACAAUUCAAUAUAUUAUCGAUUUCUAAACUGAACGCAUUUGUACUCAGAACUGGGAUAGGAAAAUCACAGAAAAUCGAGUUCAAGGAAAGCGAGUGGCAGUUGGCCUUCGUGGGCACGGCCGGGUUUGCGCGUUCUGGGGUUCCGUUAAUCCCACUUGGUGACUCUGGAUAACACGAAGCUGAUCGCACAAUCUAGUAUCGGCGAUGAAUCUUUCAAAUGUCUGCCUUACCCAUUGUCGAUGGUAGGUUAUGCACUUGUCAUGGUUGUGGCGGGUAACGGGGAAUCAGAGUUCAAUUCCGGAAAGGAAGCCUGAGAAACGGCUACCACAUCCAAGGAAAGCAGCAGGCAUGCAAUUUACCCACUCUCAGAACGAGGAGAAAGUGACGAAAAAUAACAUACAGGACUCUUCCAAGACUCCAUAAUUGGAAUGACAAAUGCCAAUAAAUUCAGCAUUCUAACGAAAUCAGGUGAUCAGUAUAUAUAUACAGUAUAAU
rfam:Strigamia maritima strain Brora ctg7180001231038, whole genome shotgun sequence.